GGUUAAAGCCUGGACUUUUCUCACUCCCUUGCAAUACUUCCUUCCUUUACACUUAACUUUUAGUUCCAAGGCAGGUUGUGGUACCUGCUCCCGGCCUCCUGUUUAUAUAUCAUAAUGUCCUAUCACCUUUUUUUUUCAGAGAUCAUCACUGGCAUGCCAGCCUCAACUGAAGGAGCAUAUGUGUCUUCAGAGUCUCCCAUUAGAAUAUCAGUAUCCACAGAAGGAGCAAAUACUUCUUCAUCUACAUCUACAUCCACCACUGGGACAAGCCAUCUUGUAAAAUGUGCGGAGAAGGAGAAAACUUUCUGUGUGAAUGGAGGGGAGUGCUUCAUGGUGAAAGACCUUUCAAACCCCUCGAGAUACUUGUGCAAGUGCCCAAAUGAGUUUACUGGUGAUCGCUGCCAAAACUACGUAAUGGCCAGCUUCUACAAGGCGGAGGAGCUGUACCAGAAGAGAGUGCUGACCAUAACCGGCAUCUGCAUCGCCCUCCUUGUGGUCGGCAUCAUGUGUGUGGUGGCCUACUGCAAAACCAAGAAACAGCGGAAAAAGCUUCAUGACCGUCUUCGGCAGAGCCUUCGGUCUGAACGAAACAAUAUGAUGAACAUUGCCAAUGGGCCUCACCAUCCUAACCCACCCCCCGAGAAUGUCCAGCUGGUGAA
rnacentral:sRNA from 1 species